rnacentral:misc_RNA from 1 species
GAAACGCGAUAGUUAAUGUGAAUUGCAGAAUUCAGUGAAUCAUCGAGUCUUUGAACGCACAUUGCGCCCAUAGGUAUUCCUUUGGGCAUGUCUGUUUGAGCGUCAUCUACACCCUCAAGCUCUGCUUGGUGUUGGGCGUCUGUCCCGCCUCCUUCGCGCGCGGACUCGCCCCAAAUCCAUUGGCGGCGGCCCUUGCCUCCCUCUCGCGCAGCACAUUGCGCUUCUCGAGGCGCGGCGGACCGCGUCCAGCAAGCAACCGUCACACCGUCUUUGACUUCGGAUCAGGUAGGGAUACCCGCUGAACUUAAGC